rnacentral:lncRNA from 1 species
UUAGUAACAGUUUCCUGAAGGUGCUGGCUUCGUGCUGAGGGUGAGCAAUGGAGGAGUCCAAGGCACCCUGUGCCUGCUCUACACAAAGCUACAUUUUGAGGACAGGGGCCUCAGGUGGCUUCUUCAUACUUUGGGAAGCUCUGCACUAUGGGCACCAUGGUAAUGAUCCACCGGAGAAGAGCUACACAGACUCAAUCAAGUCAUUUUGCCCCUCUAAGCCUGAAAAGCAGCUCCUCCCUGACACCCUCUCAGAGUCAGCGUGUAAAACCUGGGCAUCCUUAGCCAGAGGUCCCCUAGGAGGCCUUGGUUCAUCUCCCCACCCUCUCCUGAUGGAAAUACUUGUGGUCUUCAGCAAAGAGAGAUCAAGAUUGUCUGCUGGCAUUCUUUCCUUUAGGGAACCACCUCUCCCUCAUUCCAUGUGGCUUAGGGGGCACUGAUCCCCACUCAGUCCUCAUCCUCAAGACCCAAAGGUGGGUGUGUGACAUGAGCCUGCAAAUCAGACUACUCCAUUUCCAAUCUCUAGCCGUAGUGAUUAGUUCACAGAUGGGCACAUGACCAAGCUGAGCCAAUCAGAAUCUUCCCUGGGAGUUUUCUGCCAGAACUAUCAAGAAAAUGCUCCUGUAUUCUCUGAGAGUGGAAGAUGGAGCUGCCUUAGCCAUUUUCACUGUCCAUGUGAAGGAAUAAUUCUGCAAUAGAAGAGAAUGAGGCCAACAAGCAAUGUGAACCAGAGAAUAAACCAAGAUGAGAGAUGGAGGGGGAUGGAGACAGGCACAGAAACAGAGAGAAACGUGAUGACAGUUAUAUGAGUCCUUGAACCCAGCCAUUUCUGAGUAUCUAGUCUAGGCUUUGAGAAAAUAAAAUAUUAUAAGCACCAGUCUAUUAUUUCAUCUUUGUUUAACAUUGUAAUUGAAACCAGAGGUUUCAAUCCCAAUAAAUAAGGAAUCUUCAGAGAAUGAAUAGUUAUUGACACAGUGCUUUUGAGAAUGCAAAGCACUGGACUGGACAUAAUUUUUUGUGUGGCAAAAAUUAGGAGUAAGGUGAAAGGUAGAAAGUACAGAGAAAGAGAGACACAUAUACACACACACGCAGAAAGAGAGAGAAAGAGAGAGACUAUUAACCAUAUGGAGUUAAGAUCUUACUUCAAAUUACAUUUAUUCUUAUUUUAUACCUUGUCAUCAUGAUAUUGAGCAGUUUGUAUGCAUGAAGCUCUCCUCUGACAUUCUACUCUAACUGCAAUGGUUUAUUGUUUUACAACCCUUAACCCUGAGACUAUGAUGCUUGUUUAUUGUAGAAAAUUGUAUUUACUCCUUGUAAGUUCGUUAUAAGGAAUUGAACUUUCCAGCAACCCUGUAAUAUUUCACCUGAACUGAGUAUGACUUCAGUGCUCUUGUUUUAUUUAAACCAAACAGCAGUACAAGGCUGGUAUAGUUUCUUGGUGUUGGGAAAAAAAGUAUUUGUAAAGUGUUUUUUUUUCCCCCUUGCAUAAGUUAUACAAGAAAAACAAAUACUGGUUAUAACGGACUCACAUUAAAAGCACAAUGCACAAUUUA